rnacentral:misc_RNA from 1 species
CCUAGCACUUAGUGAAGCUCGCCGGCUUGCUUGUGCCUCAACCUGCCCAGGCACGAGGCCCGCGCGCACGGCUCUCGCAGCAAUCGCCAUCAAGCAGCGCGGCACUCUCGUGCACUACCGCCGAAGAGGAUCUCGGUGGUUCAGCGAACCUGCAGGGCGCCACCGCCUCCGUGUGCGAGGCCGCGGGCCCUUCAACCGCCUCCUCCCUACCCCACUUUACGCCCGUGGCCCGUCGAGGUUGAGGGAGAAGCGAUGCAGACCGGCAACCCUCUCUACACGGCCGACGAGCUGUGCACCAUCAUCGCGAAGAUUUUGCACGGCGCCGACAACGCCGAGCGCCGCCGCAACGAGGCCGAGCUCACAACUGCGCUCCAGCAGCCCCCAAACGUGGGUCACUUGGUGACGAUCCUGUGCGGCACCCCGGAUGGCACGCCGCCCACGGCGUCGGCCGGCGUUCGCCAGAUGGCGGCUGUGCUGCUGCGCAAGCGCAUCUUUUCUCUUUGGCGUGUGCUGACGACGGAGCAGCAGCAUCAGCUGCGACACCUGCUUCUGCAGCGGCUGGGUGACGAGACAACGCGUCCGGUUCGCUUCGCCAUCGCCCACGUCGUGACUCGACUGGCAAAGGCAGACGCCAACCGUGGCGGCGACGGGUGGCCAGAGCUGCAGCACGCGAUCCGUGCUGCCGCGGACGACACGCGAGUGGAGAUGCGCGAGCUGGCGAUGGUGCUGCUCUACAGCUUCGGCGAGGUGUUCACGGAGGAGAACGCGCUGAGCGGGCUGGCGGCCGAGUCUGUCGUGCGCGGCCUGGACGACAACGAGACGGUGGUGCAGGCCGCGGCGGUGAAGGCGGCUAUGGUGCUGCUGCCGACCCUGCACGAGCACCCCACGGUGCGCAACGCGUUUCUCGCGCACCUAGUACCUACCUGCAUUGGCUUGCUGGAGAGCGGCGCGGCGACGGAGGCCAAGGUCCCGCUGUGCGUCAGCGUUCUCGACUUGUUUGAGCAGCUCUUCGAUGACCUGCCCGUGAAGAAGUACGGCGCGUUGGUCCAGGAUGUAGCGCAGGCGCUGAUGCGACUCGUGGCGAACCCGCAGCACCACCCUCGCGUCCGCGAGAAUUGUGGGACAGCAUUGGGGCAGUUGGCGACGCUGAAGCCAAAAUUUGUGGCGGCGCCGGCCCUGCUGGAGCCGCUGGUGCAGGUGUGCCUCGGGCUCAUGUCGGAGGACAACACCAUCUCCAUCUCGGACCAGGGCAGCGGCGGCGUGGAGGACGAGGACGUGGACGGCAGCGACGACGAUGUGGACAUGCUGCACGCCACGUCCGCCUGCAUGGUGGGCUGCCAGCUGCUGAGCGCGCUUGCGACGACCGUGCCCAGCAAGGCGUUCACGGCGGUGCUGCUGCCGUACAUUUCGAGGGUGACGGACGCGCCGGCGAGUGUGGACGCCCGCACCCGCAAGGCCACGAUGAUCGCACUUGCCUGCCUUGCCGAGGGACACGCUAGCUAUCUGCGUCGCCGUGUCGGGUAUGUGCUGACGGUGACGCGCGGCUUCCUGUGCGACGCGGAUCCGGCUCCUCGUGAGGCCGCCGCCUUUGCCCUUUCAUCCUUCUGCGGCCAUCUGCAGCCCGAAAUCCUGCUGCACCACGAAAAGCUACUGCCGAUGGUAGUCCCGCUGCUGGAGGACACGAGCGACCUUGUGCGCCGCCGCGUCGCCCAGGCGCUGGACACCCUGUGCGAGAAUCUGCAGGAGAACCUCGACCGCUACGUGCCGACGCUGCUGCCGGCCGUGAUGGCGGCGAUCCCGAUCAGCUCGCUGGAGACGCAGUGCCGUUUGUGCGGCGUGCUCUCGUCGAUGGGCAUGGCUCACUCGGCUGCUUUCGCGAGCCGCGGGCCGGAGCUGCUCGAGGUUUUGCGGCAGCCCUUUGGUUUGAAGACCCCGGAGACGAUGGCGCUCCGGGCGCAGGUGACCGAGACAGUCGGCGUCAUUGGCUCCGCGAUGGGCCGCGCCGCCUUUGCCAAUUACUUUCCCUUCUUCAUGCAGGAGGUCGUGGCGAACCUGCAGACGCGCCACGCAGCGCUGCGGGAGCAGAGCUUCGGCUUCCUGGCCAACAUGUGCGAGCUGUUUCGCGAGGACUUCGCGCCGUACCUGAGUGACUCCAUCCACUGCGCCCUAGAGACGAUCACCGAGGACCGGGCAGUGUACAAGAACAAGCAUCCGCUGGCCAGCGACGGCAGCGGUGAUGCGCUUGCUGCCUUUGCUGCCUGGAAGGACAACGGCGAAGACGAUGACGAGAGCGACGAGGACGGAGGCGACGACGCGGAGGAGAUUCACCUGCGCGUGCGCACCGCUGACGUCGAGGAGAAGUCCUCUGCCGUGUACUGCGUCGGCGUGUUUGCGGAUGUCAUGAUGGGCCAGCUCGGGGAGGCGCAGACGACAGCGUGCUGGGAGGCGCUGACGGGGCUGGACUCGCACUAUUACCCGAACAUCCGCUCCAACGCCCUCAUCGCGCUGGCGAAGCUCGCUAAGGCGUCUGCAGGUCUCCCAGCAGAGGCGAUGCAGGCGCGCAGCCGGGCCGCCAUCGUGGCGAGGCGCACCGGUGCUGCUGACAGCAGCGGCAGCCUCGUGCAAGAUGUUCUACCGCUGCCGGUUCGCGACCGCAUUGAUGAGCUGCUGAACCUACUGCUUCGCACGAUAGAGGAGGAGGACGCGGAGAGCGAGGUCGUCGGCGCCGCGUGCGAAGCGGUGUCGAUUGUGAUGGACUACUUUGGCACUCAGUGCGCCAUCGAGGGCCCGGAUGCCGUUCUGCGGGAUGUGGUGCAGCUGCUGCGCGGGACGAUGCCGUGCCAGCGCCGCGGCAACGAGCUUGAGGACGACGACGAGUGCAGCGAGGACGACGGCGCCGACAAUAUGAGCUAUGAGCAGUACCAGCAGCUGCGACAGCAGAGGGGUGACUCUACAAGUGCGGACAGAGCACACUACCUGCAGGGCAGAGACCCGUUCUUUCGGCGCGCGGACGAGGCGGCUGAGGCGCAGGCUUCCGCGAUUAUGGCUGCGAUGGCGCAGCAUCAGCAGAACGGUGACGCGGCUGCUCCGCCGUCCUCGCCGCUGCCGUCCGCGGCUGCACUGCCACCGUGGUACAUGCUUGUUGCACCAGAGAUGGUGAAGCGCGGCGUCCACCUGCCCGAAGACCACGACGGGGUCGUCCUGGACGCUACCGCGGAGAUGCUCGAAAGCGUUGCCAAGGCGUACGGCGCGCUGCUGCAGCCCUAUAUGCCCUACCUGGUCCCUCUGCUCGCCAUGCACGCCGACGUGGGGACGCGGCCCCCGGAAGGACUCGUGACCGCCGUGGGCACCCUCGCCACCGUGCUGCAGGCGUACGGCUCCGUCGACACCAAUGGCGAUGGUGCUGCGUCGCCGGCGUCGGAGCAGCUGCUGGCGCCAUUCGUCGAGACAGCCGCGCAGCUGAGUUUCAGCGUCAUGGCAGGCUCAGACGAGUCCACCGCAAAGGCGAACAGCGCGUAUCUCCUACGCAUCCUUGUGGAGGGCUGCCCGAGUUUCUUCACACAGCAGCCCGCCGUCGUGCCGCAGUGCUUCCAGGCCCUCUGGUCCAUAGUCGGCAACGAGGAGGACGAGAUACCGGAGGCGGUCGACAACGCGGUCAGCGCCACCUGCUCCUUCGUCCGCUGCCUUCCGCUGUCGCUGCUGCCCAUCGACCAGGUCAUCCCUCCCCUCAUGGCGCACCUGCCUAUGAAGAUAGAUAAAGCAGAGAACCCGAACGCGGUGCGGACACUGUGCUAUCUGCUGGGCAAUGACCAUGCCGCCUCGACCGCAGCGGUGUCGAGCUGGUUACCGUCCGUGGUCGGUGCCGUCGCGAACGUGCUCGCCGCGGCAACCGUGGAGGAUGCUGAUAAGCAGCGCCUGGUGCAGCAGGGCGCGUCAGUCUUCGCGCAAGCUCACCCGCAGGCAUGGCGGCAGCAGCAGCAGCAGCAGCAGGGCUUGUCGGACGGGCAGCGCGCAGUGCUGCAGGCAUGGCAGCUGUGAAGUACAGCUCUGCCAAGGAUCUCAGAGGGGGGACGAGGGGCAUGAGGCGGCGAACAUUCCUCAUUUGCGGACCCUCUCCUGCUCUCCUAUACCGCCGCCGACACCAGAGACUCGCUGCCGACGUUGUCUUCUCUAUCCCUCUCUUGUGUGGGCGCCAGUACUUGGAGUGCGUUGUAACGCGUAAAGUAGCGUCGAUAACGACGGAAAUUUAAGUGGUGUGUCUGCGCAUAUGUUUAUGUGUCUUUAACACUCGUCGACGUGACCCUUCCCCUCUCCG